rnacentral:RNase_P_RNA from 1 species
UGAGAUAGCUGGAUGGUUGCUGUGUGUAAAAACAUAGAGGAAAGUCCGGGCUUUAUGGAACAAUGAUGCUGGCUAACCGCCAGAGAGGAUAAAACCUUAUGGAAAGUGCCACAGAAAACAAACCGCCUGUUAAAGGGUAAAGGUGAAAAGGUAAGGUAAGAGCUUACCGGGUAAGCAGCAAUGGUUACCGCAUGGCAAACCCCAUCAAAAGCAAGACCAUAUAGGUGCACAAAAGCUUUUAGCUUAAGCAAGUUCCGCGCUAGUGUACGGGUAGGUCGCAAGAGCUAAAUGGUAACAUUUAGCCAAGAUGAAUAACCAUCAGAGAGCGUAAGCUUUCACAGAACCCGGCUUAUAGGCUAUCUCAUUAA